rnacentral:piRNA from 1 species
UAAACCACGCGAAACUCCUGCAGUCA